AUAGUUUGAUCCUGGUCAUAACUGUUUCCUGACGGCAUGCCUAACACAUGCAAGUCGAACGGAAACGAUGGAAGCUUGCUUCCAGGCGUCGAGUGGCGGACGGGUGAGUAAUACUUAGGAAUCUGCCCAUUAGUGGGGGACAACUCGAGGAAACUCGAGCUAAUACCGCAUACGCCCUACGGGGGAAAGCGGGGGUCUUCGGACCUCGCGCUAAUGGAUGAGCCUAAGCCGGAUUAGCUUGUUGGUAGUGUAAUGGCCUACCAAGGCGACGAUCCGUAGCUGUUCUGAGAGGAAGAUCAGCCACACUGGGACUGAGACACGGCCCAGACUCCUACGGGAGGCAGCAGUGGGGAAUAUUGGACAAUGGGCGCAAGCCUGAUCCAGCAAUGCCGCGUGUGUGAAGAAGGCCUGCGGGUUGUAAAGCACUUUCAGUAGAGAAGAAAAGCUUAGGGUUAAUACCCCUGGGUCUUGACGUUACCUACAGAAGAAGCUCCGGCUAACUCCGUGCCAGCAGCCGCGGUAAUACGGAGGGAGCGAGCGUUAAUCGGAAUUACUGGGCGUAAAGCGCGCGUAGGCGGCUUUGUCAGUCGGAUGUGAAA
rnacentral:rRNA from 1 species